rnacentral:rRNA from 1 species
CCGACGGUGAGAGACGAAAGCUGGGGGCACGAACCGGAUUAGAUACCCGGGUAGUCCCAGCUGUAAACGAUGCUCGCUAGGUGUCUGGGAUGGUGCGACCGUUUCAGGUGCCGCAGGGAAGCCGUGAAGCGAGCCACCUGGGAAGUACGGCCGCAAGGCUGAAACUUAAAGGAAUUGGCGGGGAGCACUACAACGGGUGGAGCCUGCGGUUUAAUUGGACUCAACGCCGGAAAACUCACCUGGGGCG